UUCAAUGGCGGGGCAUGGUGGGAGCCUCUUACGAGGCGCCGUUCCUGAUUACGGUACGCCAAUCCUGCCAUGUGCCUGCCACCCCC
rfam:Aquitalea magnusonii strain SM6 contig_38, whole genome shotgun sequence.